rnacentral:lncRNA from 1 species
UAUUAACUCUGUUUCCUUGAGAAAAAAUCAAGUACACCACAUAACCAACAAUUAUAUCUCUGGUCUGAGGUUUGAUGACCCUUCUGGAGAAGUGUAUUCACAGGCAGGUACUUGAGAUGUCCAGGAUAGAGCUAGUACAAAUACCCAAGUAUAGAGAUGUCUCUCAGCUUUGUUCUAGCACUUUACCACUUGAAUGACCUACAUUUUCGUUCCCAAAGGUAUCUGGACUGUAUUUACUACCUCAUGCAACCCAGUAGGUAUAAAGCUUCAGAUCACAUACUUGUAGAAAUAACAGAGAAAGCAUUUGACAUAAUUUUCAAUUUGUACUGGGCAAUGGAUAUUUUUUUUUUACUGUUACUAGUUUUUGCUUUAGUUUCCAGCCCCAGGUAGCCCAUGUAGCAGUUGACUCCACUGUGCGUCUAGUCCUUCUACAAGACUUAAAUAAUAACAGCCUUACCAGGACAGUAUUUACAUGAAGAGGAGUGAGGAUAACACAAAGGAGAUUAAACUUUACUACAUAUUUCUUUUGGAACUAUACCCUACCACAAAACACAUUGUUGUGGGGCAGUUUGCUGAGAAAACACACCAAGUCCCAGUUUUGACCAAAUUGAAGAGUCUGUAUUCUGACUGGCUGGGACUGCUUCUUACAGAACCAAGUUGUGUCUGCAGAAAAUAGCCUAGAGCUUCAACAUUUUAGGGUAUUUAAGUGAAAAACCACAAAACCCCUCUCCAAGCUGAUGCAAGCAAGCGGGGUACAGAAGCUGAAUCGAGCAGUUAGCAAAAACAAUGCAAUGGGUACAUUGGUAUUUCCCAUGGGACUUUUCCAGGUUGGCAUAGCAGCAAGCAAGCAGAAGGGAAGUGGGUCACAAUGACCCUGAUUGAGUACAAGUUAGAGAAUGGUUACUAACAUCCAGACAAUCAAUCUCUGACAGGGUACAUUGCCCAAGAAAAAUGAGAACCAAAGAGAGAAAAAUUUUACAUUGUAUAAGAAUUGCCAUUUUGUGUUGCCAAGUAUGCUGUGCUAGGUAACCAUCAAUGGGCACAGAGACAGGUUUUUCCCAUGGGAGAAUCGUUCUUACAUGAUAUGGAGUCUCAGGGUAACAUAGAGUCUGUUUGGUCAUUGCCCGUAUAGCCUGCUGCAUAACAAUAUCACUGUGGUUCCACCAGGUAAGAAGCUGUGUGUCCUCACUUGCCUUCAGAAUAUUCCAGUAAGAAAUGUCAUUUCUUGCAGCAGUUUAGCCUUUCAAUGUUGGUGGAAGGUGAUGUGAUACAAUUACACCUUCAUUCCGCUAUGCAGCAGGGACAGUGUUUGUGUGUCCUAGAGGGCUACAUCUGUUUCAUAGGGCUGUCAUAAGACACUGCCACAAUUAUGGGCUUCAGGACAAUAAUUUAUUUUAUCCUAAUUCCAGAGGCUAUACAUCAACAUCCUUGUUGGAAUGAUUUCUUUUGAGGCCCACACUUUGACAUGUAGAUUGCCAUCUUCUGUCUCUGUUUGCAC